CAAAGGCUUGGUCCUGGCUUUUCUGUCAAUUCUAGCUAGAUUUACACAUGCAAGUAUCCGCGUACCCGUGAGGAUGCCCUACAGUCCCCCGCCCGGAGACAAGGAGCUGGUAUAAGGCGCAAUCAUUUUAGCCCACGACACCUUGCUUAGCCACACCCCCAAGGGAAUUCAGCAGUGAUAAACAUUAAGCUAUAAGUGAAAACUUGACUUAGUCAAAGCUAAGAGAGCCGGUAAAACUCGUGCCAGCAACCGCGGUUAUACGAGAGGCCCAAGUUGACAGCCAUCGGCAUAAAGCGUGGUUAGGAGAAUCAUUAACCUAAAGCCAAACACUCUCAGAACUGAUAUACGUACCCGAGAGCUAGAGGCCCCCCCACGAAAGUGGCUUUAAACCAUUCUGACUCCACGAAAGCUGAGAAACAAACUGGGAUUAGAUACCCCACUAUGCUCAGCCCUAAACUUUAAUAGUACUACUAUCAACUAUUCGCCUGGGAACUACGAGCGCUAGCUUAAAACCCAAAGGACUUGGCGGUGCUUUAGAUCCCCCUAGAGGAGCCUGUUCUAGAACCGAUAACCCCCGUUUAACCUCACCCCCUCUUGCUCUUUCCGCUUAUAUACCGCCGUCGUCAGCUUACCCUGUGAGGGACUAAUAGUGAGCAAAAUCAGUACAACUCAAAACGCCAGGUCGAGGUGUAGCAUAUGAGGGGGGAAGAAAUGGGCUACAUUUUCUGAGACAGAAAAUACGGAUUAUGUAGUGAAAAACACAUUAUGAAGGAGGAUUUAGUAGUAAGCAAAAAAUAGAGUGUUUUGCUGAAACCGGCCCUGAAGCGCGCACACACCGCCCGUCACUCUCCCCAAAUAUAGGCCUUACAAUAAAUAAAAAGAUACUCAAAAGAAGGGGAGGCAAGUCGUAACAUGGUAAGUGUACCGGAAGGUGCACUUGGAUACAUAU
rnacentral:ncRNA from 1 species